rnacentral:rRNA from 1 species
CGUCUAUAUACGUAUAGCAUAUCAAUAAGCGGAGGAAAAGAAACUAACUAGGAUUCCCUCAGUAACGGCGAGUGAAGCGGGAAGAGCUCAAAUUUGAAAUCUUCAAGGUUCUACCUUGACGAAUUGUAGUUUAAAGAAGUGUUUUCUGUUGGAGUUUUGGUAAAAGUUCUUUGGAAUAGGACAUCAUAGAGGGUGAGAAUCCCGUAUUUGACCAUUAUUUCCAACUUUGUGAUACACUUUCAAAGAGUCGGAUUGUUUGGGAAUGCAGUCCAAAAUGGGUGGUAAAUUUCAUCUAAAGCUAAAUACUGGCGAGAGACCGAUAGCGAACAAGUACCGUGAGGGAAAGAUGAAAAGAACUUUGAAAAGAGAGUUAAACAGUACGUGAAAUUGUCAAAAGGGAAGCGUUUGACACCAGUGUUGUUUUCUCGAAAAUCAAUUAAAAAUGGUGGGAUUUUGUGUUGUAUUGACUUUAUCAGCUUUCUGCACUUUUUUCCUAUCUUUUUUAAUGCACUUUUCGUUUAACAAGUCAACAUCAAUUUCUUUUGUUGUAAAAGAGUCAUUGGAAGGUGGCUUUCUUUUCGGGGAAAGUGUUUAUAGCCUUUGACUUCUGCAAUCGGAGAGAUUGAGGUCUGCAGCGUAGAUCCUUCGGGGUUAGAUGCAUUUGUGCUAAGUUAUAGCCUUUCAUAGACAACUUGUUGACUAUGAUCAGUCAUGUAGCUUACUCGCUUAUGUUAUUUUACCUACGCUUAGGAUGUUGACGAUCAGCUGAGCGCG